CGUGCUCAAGGACACACGCUGGAUGCGAGGAGCAAAGCAAACAGACAGUCAGUGAAAGAGGUUCAGCUGAGAAGCUCAACAGAGAAGUCUAUCCGGAUCAUGAGUUCUGGUGGCAGUUCAGGUGUAGCCGUCCAGCGGACGAACGGUAUCGAAGACAAAAAGAAAAGGAGGAGCAAAAUAGAAAAACGGACAUCUUUACCCAGCGGUCUGCCAUGUUAUUGCUAAAUGAAUCCUUAACAGGCAUCCUCCUCCAUGGCCGGGGGAAAAACCCUAGCAACUCCAGUACCCACAAUGCUCUUCUCCACAGACACCAACUGCAGUCUGCAGUCAGCUUUCCUAUCAACUACCUCUGAAAAGUAGUUGUUUUUGUGCAUUGACAUUCCCACUGUGAUUCCCAGGAUUAACAGUUCGACAAGGUCAGAAGGCCAAAAUUAGGGUGGGUGAGAGGAACCAUGUCAUCAGAGAAACCAAAGUGGUGUCACAACUGUUUGACAAAAUUUCUCAGUAAGAACACCACUGACUAAGUUCCAGAGGUUGGAGCCCUUGCUGGUGUGAGCUGGCCACUUCAGACAAUCCAGAGAUGGAAAAUAAGCUCUCAAAAUGCCAUUCUCAAGUUCUACCCCCAACGUCAGCGUACUUCCAUCAUUCCCCUCAACAUACCAGCAACCCAUAUAAAUGUAUCAAUCUUCCCAUCUGUUGAGAACCAUCAGAUUCAGCGUCCAUCAGCUUCCUGUUUCACUUCUCAUUCGUUCAGAUGGUUGUGUGAGUAACGUUCAGAAUUUGCUAUAAAGGGGAGCUAAGCACAUACUGAGUAUGAAGAUCAAUAAGAUCAGCCAUUCUUAAAGGAAAAGGAGUAUCAUAAGUUAACUGCUGUCCUGAUUUUGCCAAUUGUGUAUCCUUUGACUCACACAAAUUUCAACUCCAUUCCAACCAGGUACAACACAGACAACACACAUAUGAAUGUGUUCCCUUUCAUAGGUUCACUUCAAUGCUGCGUCAGUAUCUGUUGUCAAGAAACACCCAUGUGUGAUACGACUGAAACCCAUAGACACAUCAAUUCAUUGGCUGAUCUUCCUCAAGGGGUAUCGUGUCACUACCCCUAUGCUAGGAAGCACCUAUGCCAUCACCCCUCAGAUAUUUUUUUUCUUCAAGAAGUGAUUUCAUCACUAAACUUAAAAGCCUAUUUCAGGUCUUUAUCCAAGGAGAUACACUUAAUGAAGCAGCACAUAAUUCAUUUUUAUUCCUCAUAUCUCAGGUUGUGGUUGCAGACUCUGCAAGCUCUCUCCACAAUGGAUUGUCAGGUGGCUAUACUGCCUUAACAAGGCUCAAAGCAUGAUGUGGCUGAACAGAGCUCUGUACCAUAAUGCCUGGUGCCUCUCUCUGUCCAGUUGGCAGCAUGGAAACGUCUGUCAGAUGUGUCAUCUAAGGUCAUCCAAACCAUAAAAAGGUGUAUAGCAGGGGUCACCAGACCUCUAAUCAAACACACCUGAACCAGCUAAUCAAGGUCUUAUUAGGUAUACUUGAAACUUCCAGGCAGGUGUGUUGAGGAAAGUUGGAGGUAAACUCAGUAAACUCUUUAAGAAAGGAGCCUCCUCCUGGAAACAAGGGCCUCCUUCCCAGGAGAAGAGCAGGUUCUAUAGCUAUUAUUUUCUGGUGUCAAAAAGGAUGGGGUCUGUGCUCCAUUUUUGACUGAACUGUACUGGGGCAUUAGUGGCCAAAUGGUUAUGGCUCAUGCACCUUUAAUAGCAAGACUUGAUUUGAGACCCUUAGCAUCUUGCCACAUUUAUGAAGUGCAUAGAUGUUGCUCUGGCUGCUUUGUGACUCCAGGACAUAUGUGCAGUAAAUUACUACAAUUGUCUGAUUUUAGUUCAGUUUGAGGAGCCAGAAUGUAAGCAUUUUUCUUGAUCAUCUUCAAAGACUGAAAUGAAUUCCUGGAGCUCUACUGUUGAGGCAGCAGACUGUUUCUAGUGGUACAGAUUCACACCCUAUGCAGGCAUGGUUGUCUAUCAUUCUGCACAUGUCUGUUUAGCAAUCCUGAAGACACUGAUUAGCUUGUUCAGGUGUGUUUGAUAAGGGUUGAAGCUAAACUGGAGGAACUGGAGGAACAGCAGGACAGUGGUUCUCUAGCACCAAACUUGUCUACUCCUGCUUUAAAGUAUGGAUACUUUGGAUAAAUUGCCAUGUGCACACAGUUGGUACAGUGAGGGAGUUCUUACUGAGUGGGGUAAAGUUACUUGUAUCUCAUUUUAUGCACAGAAUGAGAUGGUUGAGACCUUUCUGUUCUGUCAGUGUGCCUCCAAUGUAUCUAUGGUCCUAGAAGACUUUGUUUGAUCUAAGACUCUGUUUGAUCAAUUAGUGUCAGCCAUUGAGAGGCUUCUGACUUAAAAGUUAUUUCUUAUAUCUCUCAAACACCAUGGUGACCCAACAGUAAAUUUGCACCAGGAUGUUGCUCUUGGUUUGUUAAGGUCUUUCUCUGACCUAAAUUAGAUUAGGCUAUAUACUUUUUCACUACUUUCCACUCUCGAGUGAUGUUAUUACAGUAAUUUUCUCCUCCAUCUCCUCCAUGCAAGAGACUGCAGCAGCUUUGUACUGUGAGGGCUUUGAGGAUUUGCAAAGACUGCUUGAGCUAGUGGCAUAAAUCUGAUCAGUUACUUUUUUGCUUUGGUCGCUGCCAUACAGCAUUAUUUGCCAUGAAACAGAUAAUGUUGCAUUGGGUGCAAUGACUGGUAAGAUGUUAUCAGAUGUAAUCACUAUGGACUACAAGCAGUGGUCGAAUUUUCUGGUAACACACUACCAGAAAACAGCUUACUUCCGCAUUGGUAAAAUAAGGUGGAUAAGGAGUUUGAACCCACUCUACUAGAAGAAAUACUAGUUCCCUUCCUCUUAAGCAUAGUUCAGACUACACGACUUAAAGGGUCAGCAGAUCGCUGUGCUGUUCAGACGUGCUGUCUGUCUUGAAGUCAUUGUGGUAUAUGUAUACGUAGCAGUAUCCGGCCCCCCAGUGUGUCCAGGUCAUCAAAUCUGACCCCCUUCAAAAAAAGUUUGGACACCCCUGGCUUAAAGGAACUUCUUUGGAGGACACCUGUGGUCCUCUCUGUACACAUUUGUCAAAUUUUACAAUUUUGGGUAUGGAUUUGACUCCUGGUUCCCGGUUGUCAUUUUUAUCCUUUCAGCAUUGAAGUGAACCUCUGAAAGAGAAUAUCUUGCCAUAUACUUCAUUUCAGCUAUGCUUUUUUUCAUAGAAAUCUGGUUGGUGUUUAAAGCUGCUUUUGAUUUUCAUUCAUGACUGAUUAUUGUACAGUGUUCAGACUUAUUAAAGACUGUUAUUAUAUAAUUUUAUUGUAAUAACAGCAUUUUUAUUAACAAUAAUAAUUUAUUGUAUUGUUAUUAGUGUUAUUAAAAUGUUUUGCUAUCGUC